GAGGACAGAGCUGACUGCCUCAAGCCCGUCCCCUCCUCUCCUCUCCUCGUCCUCUCCCCGUCUCCCACUACCUCCAGGAUUCGAGGAGGACCAGGGGUCUGAGGAGGAGCAAGCCCUGCUACCAGAGAUCUGUUUCAGCUACAGGGAGCAGACGUGGUCCCCGACCCCCACCAACGCCCUGCUGCAGGACGACGGCACCAGUCCCCUGCUCACCUGUCAGGGAUGCUGUAUACAGGUCAUGCUAGUUGCUAUGGCGUUGCCGCUGAUGAUGUCAGCGAGGACUGGUCGUGUGAUCGCUGUGCGGACGAAACCUUGACGGGCUGAGUGUUGUCUGUGUAAUCUGAGAGGAGAGCUCUGAAAGAAAACUACAGAUGACAAGUGGGCCCACGUGAUGUGUGCAGUAGCUCUGUCAGAGGUCUGUCAGGGAUGAAGUCAGGAG